UAAACGCAUUGCUUAUUGCACCACAUGUGUUUUUCUUUGAAACAAACUUGCUUUGGCGGUGGGCCCAGCCUGCCGCCAGAGGUCUAAACUUACAACCAAUUUUUUAUCAACUUGUCACACCAGAUUAUUACUAAUAGUCAAAACUUUCAACAACGGAUCUCUUGGUUCUCGCAUCGAUGAAGAACGCAGCGAAAUGCGAUACGUAAUAUGAAUUGCAGAUAUUCGUGAAUCAUCGAAUCUUUGAACGCACAUUGCGCCCUCUGGUAUUCCGGAGGGCAUGCCUGUUUGAGCGUCGUUUCUCCCUCAAACCGCUGGGUUUGGUGUUGAGCAAUACGACUUGGGUUUGCUUGAAAGACGGUAGUGGUAAGGCGGGAUCGCUUUGACAAUGGCUUAGGUCUAACCAAAAACAUUGCUUGCGGCGGUAACGUCCACCACGUAUAUCUUCAAACUUUGACCUCAAAUCAGGUAGGACUACCCGCUGAACUUAAGCAUAUCAAUAAGGCGGAGGAA
rnacentral:rRNA from 1 species